GAUAGCUCAGUUGGUAGAGCGGAGGA
rnacentral:piRNA from 3 species